CAUUACAGAGUUCAUGCCCUUACGGGUAGACCUCCCACCCUUGAAUACUAUACCUUAGUUGCUUUGGCAGGCCGUGGAAACACCAUGGGCUCCGGCUUAUGCGUGCCUGCCAGAGGAAAUAAACUCUGUUUUUAGUGAUGUCUGAGUACUAUAUAAUAGUUAAAACUUUCAACAACGGAUCUCUUGGUUCUGGCAUCGAUGAAGAACGCAGCGAAAUGCGAUAAGUAAUGUGAAUUGCAGAAUUCAGUGAAUCAUCGAAUCUUUGAACGCACAUUGCGCCCCGUGGUAUUCCGCGGGGCAUGCCUGUUCGAGCGUCAUUUCAACCCAUCACGCCCCGGCGUGGACUUGGGGCCUGCGUCUUCGCAGCCCUUAAACUCAGUGGCGGUGCUAUUGAGCUCUGAGCGUAGUAAAUCUUCUCACUAUAGGGUCUUGGUAGUUGCUUGCCAACAACCCCCCCAUUUUUAUCAGGUUG
rnacentral:rRNA from 1 species